GUCUAUGGCCAUACCACCCUGAACGUGCCCAUCUUGUCUGAUCUUGGAAGCUAAGCAGGGUUGGGACUGGUUAGUACUUGGAUGAGAGAAAUAUAAUGUCAGAAAUAUGUACAAUAGUUU
rnacentral:rRNA from 1 species